GAUGAACGCUGGCGGCGUGCCUAAUACAUGCAAGUCGAGCGAACAGACGAGGAGCUUGCUCCUCUGACGUUAGCGGCGGACGGGUGAGUAACACGUGGAUAACCUACCUAUAAGACUGGGAUAACUUCGGGAAACCGGAGCUAAUACCGGAUAAUAUAUUGAACCGCAAGGUUCAAUAGUGAAGGACGGUUUUGCUGUCACUUAUAGAUGGAUCCGCGCCGCAUUAGCUAGUUGGUAAGGUAACGGCUUACCAAGGCGACGAUGCGUAGCCGACCUGAGAGGGUGAUCGGCCACACUGGAACUGAGACACGGUCCAGACUCCUACGGGAGGCAGCAGUAGGGAAUCUUCCGCAAUGGGCGAAAGCCUGACGGAGCAACGCCGCGUGAGUGAUGAAGGUCUUCGGAUCGUAAAACUCUGUUAUUAGGGAAGAACAAAUGUGUAAGUAACUAUGCACGUCUUGACGGUACCUAAUCAGAAAGCCACGGCUAACUACGUG
rnacentral:rRNA from 1 species